UACAGAGGGUGCAAGCGUUACUCGGAAUUACUGGGCGUAAAGCGUGCGCAGGCGGUGAUGUAAGACAGGUGUGAAAUCCCCGGGCUUAACCUGGGAACUGCAUUUGUGACUGCAUUGCUGGAGUGCGGCAGAGGGGGAUGGAAUUCCCGGUGUAGAGGUGAAAUUCGUAGAUAUCGGGAGGAACACCAGUGGCGAAGGCGGCGACCUGGGCCAAUACUGACGCUGAGGUGCGAAAGCGUGGGGAGCAAACAGG
rnacentral:rRNA from 1 species